rnacentral:misc_RNA from 1 species
CUUCUAAAGAAUACAUUCAACUUUCCUCUGAAAAUCUGGGAUCUGUAAAAAUAAUAAAAACUUCACGAACUGGGAUGAGCCAAUAAUUCCCCUGCUACCGCGAAGUUUAGAUCAUGAUUCCUUCUUUUUUACCCUAUAUGGAUAUUUUUGGUAUAUUGCAAUACUGAUAAUGACGAGUGGUAGGGCCAGCAAACAAUACAAUGACGGUGGUUUCCCUUCGAAAAUAAACUGCAGCAUAGCUGUUACAAGUAGUGCAGAAACAAUGACAAAUCCCUUUCUAACACCCCCAGCAUGGCUUGUUACCAGGCCAACAAGUAUUCCUCCAAGAGAAUUGGCUAUCACUGGAAUCAUAGUCAAUGGAGUCCAACCAUGAAAGAAUCCAUAUCGUCUAAUAGCUUCACCAUCUGGAGACUUAGUGGUGCUGACCAGCAGGCACAAGCUUCCAACAAUAGACAUUUCUACAGUCAUCAAGUAUGAAGAAUGUUUCUUAACCUGAGAAGCCCAUUGACACAAAGCUGAAGCAAGGCCGGAAAGAACAGAGGCAACAAGAACAGGAACAAUCCCAUAAAAUAGAAUUUGAUCAGGGUUACUACUACUGGAGCCUUUGCUGGAGCCUUCACCAACGCUAAGAAGAACAGCUGCCAUGAUUAACAAGAACAAAGCGCCAAUUUGUUGGAUUGACUGCUUCUGCCUCAAUAUUAUAAACGUAAACAAUGCAGUGAAAAAUAUUUUUGUCUGGUUCAGCAUUGAAAAUGUAAGUGAAUCAAGAUUCUUGUAAGAAAUCUGCAGCAAGCUGUUUUGUGCAGCAUAAAUAGCUGCAGGAAGUCCUGAUGCAGUGAGAGAACCGACCAAAGUCCAUUCAUUGGAUAAUUUCUUCAAACUACCAUUUUUUGCCAUGAGAAUCAGGGCACAUAUUACCUUAGCUAUCUCACAUGUCAAGACAGAGGUAGUAACGAUAACUUCUCGCCUGGUGAAACGCUUGGAGAUCAGAGGCUGAGCUCCGUAUUGAAGAGUGAGUAAAAUUGAAUAAAGCCAAACCCUUGCGUUCAUUCCAUCAGAGUCAGAGUUGGUUCCUUUGCGCUUCGUCGCCGCCAUUGUUGGCAAGCUUAGAAGGGAGGAACGCUUGGUCCUGUUCCUUUCUUCUUUUCUACUUCUCCGUUGUGGUCCCCUGUACCGUGAAUGUGAUUGAAAGUAGAAAAAU